rnacentral:rRNA from 1 species
UACCAGCACCCCGAGUGGUCGGGACGUUUAUUGGGCCUAAAGCAUCCGUAGCCGGUUCUACAAGUCGUCCGUUAAAUCCACCUGCUUAACAGAUGGGCUGCGGAAGAUACUAUAGAGCUAGGAGGCGGGAGAGGCAAGCGGUACUCGAUGGGUAGGGGUAAAAUCCGUUGAUCCAUUGAAGACCACCAGUGGCGAAGGCGGCUUGCCAGAACGCGCUCGACGGUGAGGGAUGAAAGCUGGGGGAGCAAACCGG